UACAGAGGGGGCAAGCGUUGUUCGGAAUUACUGGGCGUAAAGGGCGCGUAGGCGGCCUGCUAAGUCGAACGUGAAAUCCCCGGGCUCAACCCGGGAACUGCGUCCGAUACUGACAGGCUUGAAUCCGGGAGAGGGAUGUGAAAUUCCAGGUGUAGCGGUGAAAUGCGUAGAUAUCUGGAGGAACACCGGUGGCGAAGGCGGCAUCCUGGACCGGCAUUGACGCUGAGGCGCGAAAGCCAGGGGAGCAAACGGG
rnacentral:rRNA from 1 species